GAUGAAGAACGUAGCGAAAUGCGAUAAGUAAUGUGAAUUGCAGAAUUCAGUGAAUCAUCGAAUCUUUGAACGCACCUUGCGCCCUUUGGCCAUUCCGAAGGGCAUGCCUGUUUGAGUAUCAUGAACACCUCAACUCUCAUGGCUUGCCAUGAUGAGCUUGGACUUUGGGGGUCUUGCUGGCCUGUGGUCGGCUCCUCUCAAAUGAAUCAGCUUGCCAGUGUUUGGUGGCAUCACAAGUGUGAUAACUAUCUGCGCUCGUGGUUUCCAUCAGAUAACCUCCAGUGACGGAGGUUCGCUGGAGCUCAUAAAUGUCUCUCCUAAGCGAGGACAGCUCUUUUAAUGUUUGAUCUCAAAUCAGGUAGGACUACCCGCUGAACUUAAGCAUAUCAAUAAGCGGAGGA
rnacentral:misc_RNA from 1 species